ACUCCUACGGGAGGCAGCAGUGGGGAAUCUUGGACAAUGGGGGCAACCCUGAUCCAGCCAUGCCGCGUGAGUGAUGAAGGCCUUAGGGUCGUAAAGCUCUUUCGCCUGUGGUGAUAAUGACAGUAGCAGGUAAAGAAACCCCGGCUAACUCCGUGCCAGCAGCCGCGGUAAUACGGAGGGGUUAGCGUUGUUCGGAAUUACUGGGCGUAAAGCGCGCGUAGGCGGAUUAGUCAGUUAGAGGUGAAAUCCCAGGGCUCAACCCUGGAACUGCCUUUAAUACUGCUAGUCUUGAGUUCGAGAGAGGUGAGUGGAAUUCCGAGUGUAGAGGUGAAAUUCGUAGAUAUUCGGAGGAACACCAGUGGCGAAGGCGGCUCACUGGCUCGAUACUGACGCUGAGGUGCGAAAGUGUGGGAGCAAACAGGAUUAGAUACCCUGGUAGGAUAGCG
rnacentral:rRNA from 1 species